rnacentral:rRNA from 1 species
AGUGAACGCUGGCGGUAGGCCUAACACAUGCAAGUCGAACGGCAGCACAGUAAGAGCUUGCUCUUACGGGUGGCGAGUGGCGGACGGGUGAGGAAUACAUCGGAAUCUACUUUUUCGUGGGGGAUAACGUAGGGAAACUUACGCUAAUACCGCAUACGACCUACGGGUGAAAGCAGGGGAUCUUCGGACCUUUCGCGAUUGAAUGAGCCGAUUUCGGAUUAGCUAGUUGGCGGGGUAAAGGCCCACCAAGGCGACGAUCCGUAGCUGGUCUGAGAGGAUGAUCAGCCACACUGGAACUGAGACACGGUACAGACUCCUACGGGAGGCAGCAGUGGGGAAUAUUGGACAAUGGGCGCAAGCCUGAUCCAGCCAUACCGCGUGGGUGAAGAAGGCCUUCGGGUUGUAAAGCCCUUUUGUUGGGAAAGAAAAGCAGCAGGUUAAUACCCCGCUGUUCUGACGGUACCCAAAGAAUAAGCACCGGCUAACUUCGUG